rnacentral:rRNA from 1 species
GCGGCAGACGGGUGAGUAACGCGUGGGAACGUACCCUUUACUACGGAAUAACGCAGGGAAACUUGUGCUAAUACCGUAUGUGCCCUUUGGGGGAAAGAUUUAUCGGUAAAGGAUCGGCCCGCGUUGGAUUAGCUAGUUGGUGGGGUAAAGGCCUACCAAGGCGACGAUCCAUAGCUGGUCUGAGAGGAUGAUCAGCCACAUUGGGACUGAGACACGGCCCAAACUCCUACGGGAGGCAGCAGUGGGGAAUAUUGGACAAUGGGCGCAAGCCUGAUCCAGCCAUGCCGCGUGAGUGAUGAAGGCCCUAGGGUUGUAAAGCUCUUUCACCGGAGAAGAUAAUGACGGUAUCCGGAGAAGAAGCCCCGGCUAACUUCGUGCCAGCAGCCGCGGUAAUACGAAGGGGGCUAGCGUUGUUCGGAAUUACUGGGCGUAAAGCGCACGUAGGCGGAUCGAUCAGUCAGGGGUGAAAUCCCAGGGCUCAACCCUGGAACUGCCUUUGAUACUGUCGAUCUGGAGUAUGGAAGAGGUGAGUGGAAUUCCGAGUGUAGAGGUGAAAUUCGUAGAUAUUCGGAGGAACACCAGUGGCGAAGGCGGCUCACUGGUCCAUUACUGACGCUGAGGUGCGAAAGCGUGGGGA